rnacentral:rRNA from 1 species
UGGGGAAUUUUGGACAAUGGGCGAAAGCCUGAUCCAGCAAUGCCGCGUGUGUGAAGAAGGCCUUCGGGUUGUAAAGCACUUUUGUCAGGAAAGAAAUCCUUGGCUCUAAUACAGUCGGGGGAUGACGGUACCGGAAGAAUAAGCACCGGCUAACUACGUGCCAGCAGCCGCGGUAAUACGUAGGGUGCAAGCGUUAAUCGGAAUUACUGGGCGUAAAGCGUGCGCAGGCGGUUUGCUAAGACCGAUGUGAAAUCCCCGGGCUCAACCUGGGAACUGCAUUGGUGACUGGCAGGCUAGAGUAUGGCAGAGGGGGGUAGAAUUCCCACGUGUAGCAGUGAAAUGCGUAGAGAUGUGGAGGAAUACCGAUGGCGAAGGCAGCCCCCUGAGCCAAAUACUGACGCUCAUGCACGAAAGCGUGGGGAGCAAAACAGGAUUAGAUACCUUGGUAGUCCACGCCCUAAAACGAUGUCAAACUAGUUNUUGGGGAUUCAUUUUCCUUAGUAACGUAGCUAACGCGUGAAGUUGA